CAUGGCAUUGUUGUGGCUAGUAAACUAGUAUAGUAUAUUUAAUAACUAUUGUUAAAAAGAAAGAUAGGAAAUGGAAAUACUCCAGCAUCAUCCGUCUGGCGUUUUCUGACGCUGUAUUAUCUUAUCAUAGAUAAUCAUUCGGCCAAUCCAUAACUGUGAACACUCCAACCCGCCAAGCAACCAUCCAGAUCCAGAGGAAUAGCAGCAGACUGGUAUUAAUUUUAUGGAUAAGAUAUCUUCUGGCAAAGAGGUUCAUGAGGAGGAAGUAGCAGCAAGGGAGUCGCUCAUAGAUAUCUCGGACUUGUUGCCGGAAAACUCAAACAGCACUGAGAGGCCGAGUGAAGUGAAAGAUUAUUUUGAUGGAACAGAAAAGUAUAGAUCUGAACUGAUCUCCAUAUCCAAUUCUCAAUCACCAGAUAUCAAAGGCCUACCAGUUCCACUUGGAGAACCGAGCGAUUAGCCUGGACAGCAGGUUCUCUUAUGUUACCAGCUUUUCCUUUCUGUCCCUUUUUUUCUCCCCGCAGCUUCUUUUUAACUGUAAUGUAAUCGGAAUAUCGGAUGCUUACAACUGAAAUGAUACAUCGUAAGUGUACUUGCAAA